GUCAUUCUUGACAAGCCACUUCUGAGAGUGUGGAAUAGAGAGACCUUUUCCCUGCUUUAGAACACGUGCUGCUUGAACAGAAAAGUUAUGACCUUGUGAUCUUCAAAAGGUUGGAAGAGCUACCAGAGGUCCAGCAACUAGAAUCCAUAAGAAUCUUGCUAUGGUCACGGCAGCUGAGGCCAGUGGCAAGCCAGCCAGGAGGCAUGACCUGCUUGAGGGUUGGCGCAGCAGAAUGGUUCCACUCAAUGGUUCCUCCCUGGAUCUUCUCCUCAAGAGUGCCUUCCAACUGCCCAUCAAUUGGGGAACGGCUGAACAAGCUGUGGUGCACGAAUGUAAUGGAAUGUUAUUGUUCCAUAAAAA